rnacentral:lncRNA from 1 species
UAGAAUAUAGAGCAUUUUUGAUAAAAAACUUGUGUCUCAUUUGGUAGCAUGAAACUAGCUUUUCCAAAUCCCUCGAUUAAAUUUGAUGUGCCAGAGAUAGUUCCUACAUUUCCCUUAGCUUUGAUUAGUUAUGAAAAAUAUUUCUCACUUUGAAGGAUUGUAUGAGUUGUUGCACUGUCUGCUAAACAUAUAUCCUCCAUAUCCAUUAAAG